GACGAACGCUGGCGGCGUGCUUAACACAUGCAAGUCGAACGGAAAGGCCCUGCUUUUGUGGGGUGCUCGAGUGGCGAACGGGUGAGUAACACGUGAGUAACCUGCCCUUGACUUUGGGAUAACUUCAGGAAACUGGGGCUAAUACCGGAUAGGAGCUCCUGCUGCAUGGUGGGGGUUGGAAAGUUUCGGCGGUUGGGGAUGGACUCGCGGCUUAUCAGCUUGUUGGUGGGGUAGUGGCUUACCAAGGCUUUGACGGGUAGCCGGCCUGAGAGGGUGACCGGCCACAUUGGGACUGAGAUACGGCACAGACUCCUACGGGAGGCAGCAGUGGGGAAUAUUGCACAAUGGGCGGAAGCCUGAUGCAGUAACGCCGCGUGCGGCAUGACGGCCUUCGGGUUGUAAACCGCUUUCGCCUGUGACGAAGCGUGAGUGACGGUAAUGGGUAAAGAAGCACCGGCUAACUAUGUG
rnacentral:rRNA from 1 species